UCCCUUGCCAAGGACCACCACCCUGCUUGGUUCUGGUCAGAGGAUGACUAUAAUACGAUCCUAGCUAAGGGCCCUUGGUUUGUUGCCAACAAGUUCCUUGUAGUGGAGCCAUGGGUCACUGAUUUCAUCCAUGGCACUAAGGUGGUUCAACAAAUAGUGAUUUGGGUUCAGCUACUGAGGCUUCCAAUGGAGUAUUGGCAGUCGGAGAUGCUGUUGGGAAUAGCUUCAAAGGCUGGA
rnacentral:lncRNA from 1 species